rnacentral:misc_RNA from 1 species
GUGACUUUGGAUUCUGGUGAGGUGUAUAUUAUUGCCAGCUUGUCAUCUAGGACUGACACUCAGGUGAUAUAUAUUGAUCCAACAACCGGAGCACUUUGCUACAGUGUGGGAAGCUGGGCUUUGAUAUCUUCAAAUCUGAAGAUGAAGCCUUAGAUUACAUUACAAAUGGAUCUCGGUGGCUGUGUAGGAGUACAACUUAUGCAAGGGCCGC